GGAAGUGCAGCCCGCAGGGCUUCCGGUCGCGCCGGGGCCGCUGGGCUCUGAGGCGCUGGGCUGCCCGCCCGCCAGCAGCGACGGGCUGGGCACCGAGUCGCGCGAGGGGCUGCGGCCCCAAGCUCGGGAGCGCAGCCUCCAGCUUCUUCCCAAGGGCGGUCUCGCCCUUCGGCCCCUCGGCCCCUCGGCCCCGCAGUAGAGCGGCCUCCGGCUUCUCCCCAGGGGCGACCUCGGGCGCUCCUGACGGCGGCCCUGCUCCUCUGUCACCGGGGAGCCGCAGUGGGGUCCCUGGCCCCUUGGCCGUGGGUUCCAGGGCGCUGCUGCAAGCACAGGGAGCCGAGAGAAAACCAGGGCUGGACCGCAGUUAAGGCGCUGAAAGCGGGUUCCGCCCAGGGCGCUUCACAGAGCGCGCAGGAGACCCCGGUGUGGAGCCGGGCUCACCCCGCACACGGGUGGGCGGAAAAGAAAGGCGCACCCCGAAAGCUGAGCCUUACGUUUCGUGUGGCACACCAAGCUGAGGACCCGAGCCUGGGGCCCAGCAUCUAACUGGGAGCCCGCUCCGUAGAGGAAGAGGACAGAAAGCCAGCGAGCUGCACGUCACGGGGCCUCGAUAUGUGUUGGUCCUACUGGACCACAGUCAGGUUGGCGCGUAAGGUGCGCACAGGUCAGGAUGAAGUGGAAAGAAACGCAAGCCUGCCUGGGCCCUGGCACGAACUUGCUGAUGACCUCGGCAAUUCCCUUCCCCUCUCUGGGCCUCUGUUUCCCCAUCUGUGAAAUGGGCCUCCAGGUGCCUCUGAUCCAGUCCUCUGGGCUCCUGCCCUGGGUUGGGGAUGGUGCCACAGAGAAAGAGGGGAAGGCCUGGGGGAGGCAGCUGGAGGUGGUUUUGUCUGUGCAGGAGGAAGUGGCGUGGGCUGGGAGGGCAAAGGCAGACCCUCCCUUUCUGAAGGCCCGUUCUGGGGCUGGGGACCGGACUGGGGGCUUGGACCACAGGGAGGUUCUAAGAAGGCAGUUUGGGCCCAGCACGGGGGCUCUCUGACCACGAGGCCUUCUGUGGGAGGUGGCGGGCGCCCUGCUUGGGCGGUGUUGAGACCAGGUGGUCCCCCCGGGAGGACCGUACUGGGGGCUGACUCAGAGUUCUGAAGGCCCUUCCAAGUCCAGGUGUCUGCCGUCCUCAUGACCACAGGGGGACGCGGCUCAGUCCUGUCCGUAUCUCAGGCAAAACUCACAGCGCACUGAGACCAGACCGUGCCAAGGGCUGCCAGGAACUGGGAGCAAUGGAACGUCCCUGUAUUACUGCCAGGAAUGCUGAGCAGUGCAGGCACUUUGAAAAGCAGCUUAGCUGCUCCUUAUAAAGGUGACCACACACCUGCCGUCCGACUCAGUCGUCCCAUCCCUAGGGGUUUGGAAUGAACAAGAAGUCUGUUCACACUGGAACCUGUGCGGGAAGGUUUCUAGCGGCGUUCUUCAUAGAGCCCCCAAACCGAAUUCAACCCAGAUGUUCUCAGCAGGUGAAUGGGCGAGCAGCCUGGGGUACAUCUGCGUGGUGGAACACUUCUCUGUGAUAAAAAGGAAGGGGUGACCUGUGCACGUGCCGGCGCGGGCCCGUCUCAGAACCAGCACAGCCGCUGCAGGAGGACAAGCACGCAGGGCGGCUGCUCUGUGAGAUGCUCCCAUGAUGCUCUGGGAGAGGCAAGGUUACGGACCAGGGGUUGCAGGGUGGGGGUGGGGAGCAGGCCGGAGUACAGCCGGGGGACCCCGGGGGAGGUGGGUCUGCUGUAUCUUGGCUGUGACGGUGGUUACUGGAUGGAGCCUUUGUCGACACUUGGAACUGUACGUCCUGGGAGAACUCUAAGGUGUGUAGGAGAAGAACGAAUAACAGACAAUAAAAGUGGCAGAAAUGGUAGAAAGCCCCACCCCUGACCCAGAGCAGGGGCUUACUUUAGGUGAAGGCCCAUCGCCCCCGUUAGGAUGGCCGAUGUGAGUUCGUAUCACUCUGUGCGCGUGUACAGAAGCAAGUGCGGGCACGGAUGUGGAGGACGUGGAGCCCCGUGCGCUGCUCCCGGGAAUGUAAAACGGUGCAGCUGCUGUUUCUGCGUCCACCCGCGGGCAUUGAAAGCAGAGGCGCAAAGAGAUGUGAGCGUGUGCGCCACAGUCACAACAGCGUGACUCACUGAAGCCAAACGUGGGAGCAACUCGAUGCCCAUUAAGGGAUGAAUGGAAGUGCCGUGUGGGACAUCCACGCCGUGGGACAUCCUUCAGCCUUAGCGAGGAAGGAGAUCUUGACACCUGCUGCAACGUGGGUGACCUUUUAGAAUAGUGUGCUCAGUGAAACGUGCCUGCGUAGGUGCUGAGGGGGUUCCAGGGGCCCUGUCCUGUAGCCCAAAGGGGAGGCAGACCUGGAACCAGGAAUGGCAGGUAUGGUGACCACCUUGGGGGGAGCAGUGUGGGCCUGGUGGGGGCCAAGUACCGAGGCUCUUUGUGCCUGGGUGCUGCCAAGCCCUUCUCAGGAAGCUGCAGCUUAGCCAAGUCCCACGUGAUGCUUGGGGAGCUGGGCAGGUGAGGAUGGAACGUGUGUGGAGCUUGGAGAUCUUGGAUUCAGUUUUUUACAUCUAGGCCCAGGUAACCUGAGUCUUAUUUCUUUUCUUCUUUCCUCAAAUGCUGUGGUGGUGGUGUUGUUUAGAACAGUGAUUUGUUCACACCCUGAAUAUCCCAGGAGGAGAGGGGUCGAGUGUGAAGGAGCCUCUGUCUACAGCAGAUGCCGCCAGUGUCCUGCCCAGGUGCCCUUGCCUCAGCCCCGCAGUGCGCACGGAUCUGCUUGCCACUGCCUGGGCCGGCGUGCCACGGCUUGGGAUUGUCCCUGAAAGCUCUCAAGUCACUCAUCCGUCCAUCCAUUCUUUCUUCCAUCUGUCCAUCCAUCUCUUACUCUGUCCUUCCAUCCAUCUUUCCUCCUGUUCUUCCUUCCGCCCUUCCUUCUGUCCUUCCUUCCAUCCGUCCUUCCUUCCAUCCUUCCCUCUGUCCUUCCUCCCUUGCAUCCUUCCUUCCUUCCUUCCUUCUUCCCGUCCAUCCUUCCGUCUGUCUGUCCUUCCAUCCAUCCAUCCUUCCUUCUGUCCUUCCAUCCAUCCUUCUUUCCUCCUGUUCUUCCUUCCGCCCUUCUUUCUGUCCUUCCUUCCAUCCUUCCCUCCGUCCUUCCUCCCUUGCAUCCUUCCUUCCAUCCUUCUUUCCUUCCUUCCGUCCAUCCUUCCUUCCUCCCGUCCAUCCUUCCGUCUGUCUGUCCUUCCUUCCUCGCAUCCUUCCUUCCGCCCUUCCUCCCGUCUUUCCUUCCAUCCGUCCGUCCUUCCUUCUUCCUUCCUCCUGUCCUUCCUUCCAUCCUUCCCUCCGUCCUUCCUCCCUUGCAUCCUUCCUUCCUUCCAUCCUUCUUUCCUUUCUUCCGUCCAUCCUUCCUUCCUCCCGUCCAUCCUUCCAUCUGUCUGUCCUUCCUUCCUUGCAUCCUUCCUUCCGUCCUCCCUUCCAUGCGUCCAUCCUUCCUUCUGUCCAUCCAUCCAUCCAUCCAUCCAUUUUUCCAUCUCCUUCCUUCCACCCACCCGUCUCUACAUCGUUAUCCAUACCUUCAUUCUUCCAUCCACCCAGGGGUGAGAUGUGUGCUUGGUUAUUCACUCAAUAAACAUCGUCUGCGCGGAGCUGAUCUCAAGGCCGUCUGGAUGUCCGCCCCUCACUACAGAGGUUAAGCUGCACCUGGGGUUCUCAGAAAUCCGCUCGCUACCUUGCAACUUGCCAGCUUCUCAAAUGUCUCGUCCUCCCCUGCCUCUCGCUUCUGGAGGAGGCAUGUGGCCACGUGGCGGGAAGGAUGGCGGCUUCCCGGCGCCGUCUGUAGGACUCGGCUGGGAACGGCGGGCUCCGGCCACGCUCUGGGCUGGAAGGAAGGCAGCGUGGUCUGUCUGUCUGCCCAUCCUCUGCAGGCACCGUGGACUAGAAAGGUUCGUCAGGUUUGACCAACAUUUUCCAGCCCCUCCCCGGUGCCAGGCCCUCCCCAUGUGCCCUGGUGGUCUGAUCUUGUUGGGGACUGAGGCUGCACACCCCUGUGGACCCCAUUUCGUCCCCAGAGAACCAAGGCUUGAGAAGGCAUGUGGCCGGCCCUGGGUCUCCUGGGUGGUAAUGAGCGGGAGCGUUAGAACCCAGGCCUCUGCGAGUCCCGUUUGGUUGGGAGGAGGAGACGCGGGGAUGGGGAGCAGGGCACAGAGUGCCCUGUGCCCCUGGGAUGGCGGCCCAGCAGCCGCUCGGCGCAGGCAAAGCAGGAGGUAGGGAGGGACGCAGGGCGCAGUGAGCCGCUCCGUGUCCGGGCACAGGGGACAGGAGCACCAGGCUGGCAGCACGUCUGAGCCCCUGGCCUGGGGUGGCUCUCCUGGCCUGGCAGAGGCUGCGCAGCGAGGUCGCCAGGAGAGGGGCCCAGUCUCCUUGCCAGGCCGGCUGCCAGCCCUCCAGAGGCCUGGACAGCAGGGCCUCUCCUGAGUGGUCACCGACCCCGAGCCCAGAAGCACUUCCCUUUACUCCCCUGGGGACCCGCCUUCCUGACAGGGACCAGAGCCCCCCAAAGAGAGCGGCCUGAGCCCCAGGCCAGGAGUGCUCUCUGGUCCCUCCUCCCUCCCUCCCCUCCUCCCUCCCUCCAGCAGCCAUGGUCCUUGAGGACAGCAGCACAGGUAGGGAGCCGUGCUGGGCUCGGGGAUCCAGCGGUGACGAGACCACAAGUGCCUCCGCUGAGCAGGAGCGAGAACAAACGAGGAACAGCAGGUGUGCACUCGCGCGUGCGGAGGGCUGAGCCUCGUGGGGGCGCGUGCGGAGGGCUGAGCCUCGUGGGGGCGUAGCCAGGGCACUGGCUUGGGUUGGGGGCCCCAAGACGUCUCUGCGAGCUGGGGCAGGG